rnacentral:lncRNA from 1 species
GCCAAAGAUAAAAGGAUUCGAUACUUUGGAGGAACUUUGCUUCACGUGGUUGUAAAAUCAGCAGAGGUGCUGGAAACACCUCUCAUUUUGUGUGGAGAGGUUCAGUCCUAUACCUGAUGGGGAGGAGAAAGCAUUGACUAGACAUUUUUCCAGUCCUUGAAGCAGUUUUCUUUGAGAGAAUGACAUUUUUCAUGCCAGACAGUUGGCAUCAGCUGUCAAGUUGGGUGAACUGGACAAGACAGAGAUGGAGACAUGCAAUGCUAUAUGGUGUCAUCAGAACUAAAGAUUAUGAAAUUCUUCUGCACAGAUUUCACCCCUGAAGUGAACAGAACACACCAGGGAUUUCCCAUGGCGAUGAGAGUCCCUGUUCCAGUUCAACUGAUUCAACUGGCCAUGUUGCCUUUUAUCCAGGUUCCUGUUUUCAUCACAUGGCAGGAGAUGCAGAAAGCACUAGGAAAACUACACCGCCAGAGGGUUUGCCAUUAUGUGGAGGAGGCACAGUCCAUGUUCUGCAACUGCUGUGAGAGACCUUCUCCCAUGCUGGAAGCUCCCUCUCAGACACUUGUCCUGGUCCAGCCUGCUCCCAUCUCCAUGAGACUGUUCCUGCUCUUGCCUAGCCCCAGUCCUUGGUGGGGUCUGUCAGCCCUGCAUCUUUCACCCUUCCAGGCAGGUGGACAGGGCCCAGGGGAUGCAGCUGCAGGGCCAUGA